CUGCUGCUUCCCAUUCCUUUCCUGCAGGUCAUGUCUACACCACUCUCCUACACCAAUGGUUUUCAAACUUGAGCGUGCACCAGAACCUCCUGGGCCCACCUCAAGACCCACAGAAUCGAGCUCUGGGGGUUGGGUUGUCCCAGGAGCAGACUGGGAGACAAGAACAUGAGCGAUCCCAGGAAGCCCUAGCAGAGGAGAGGAGAAAGUGAGCCAGGGAAGGGGAAGGCAGGCAGCAACACAGGGCAUCUUAGCUGACAUUGGUUGCAGGAUGCUUCUAGCCAGGGAGUGUGUGAACAGCCUGCCAGUGCAUGGGAAGAGCGGCUGCAGUGGUCUGAGAAAGUCUCCGAGCCCAGGAAGUCAUGGGUGUUUGCUGCUGGUCACCACUGGAUGAAUGAAGCCCAGCUCGGCAUGGUAAGGCAACUUCUAGAAGUCUCCAAAGACCAGAUCCCUUCUACCGUGUUGACCCUCCAUCCUCAACACAGAGCUUCUACCUCGUUGUCCAAGGCAGCUGCUUGUGCUCCAGCCAUCACAUCCCACCUUCAGUCAUCAGGAAAGAGAAAGGGAUAAGCAGGGGCUUGCUUCUUCCUGUAAGGACACUUCCCAAAAGACUUCACACAAGACUUCUACUUACAUCUUACUGGCCAGCACUUGGUCACACUUCCAUAUGACCAGGAGCUAAAAAUCAGGGGCCUUGUUAGCAAAAAAUAUGUGGAGAAUGAAUGGUGUGGUGCAGCCAGCAGCCUUGCCUUGGGAACCUUUCCAGAGAGCCAUUUGAUUGCUCUGUGAUUCGUCUGCUUUGCGCCAAGGCCUGGAGCAACAGCAGGGAGCACAUUCAGGAACCCCCCACCUUGAGGGGCCCACAGGUCAGUGGGGAACAGUGAAGUGGACAAGUCAAUACGCACACAGUCACGAUGCUUGCUAGGCCAAGUCCUGUGGGGGACACGGCAGAGGGGUAAGAAAGAGCAUCAGAAGAGCAGGGGCAAAAGCCUACCCUAGCAUAGGGAGACAGGCAGGGCCCUUCUGAGGAGGUGACAUUGGGACAGAG
rnacentral:lncRNA from 10 species